GAGUUUGAUCGUGGCUCAGAUUGAACGCUGGCGGCAUGCCUUACACAUGCAAGUCGAACGGCAGCAUGAUCUAGCUUGCUAGAUUGAUGGCGAGUGGCGAACGGGUGAGUAAUACAUCGGAACGUGCCCUGUAGUGGGGGAUAACUAGUCGAAAGAUUAGCUAAUACCGCAUACGACCUGAGGGUGAAAGUGGGGGACCGCAAGGCCUCAUGCUAUAGGAGCGGCCGAUGUCUGAUUAGCUAGUUGGUGGGGUAAAGGCCCACCAAGGCGACGAUCAGUAGCUGGUCUGAGAGGACGAUCAGCCACACUGGGACUGAGACACGGCCCAGACUCCCACGGGAGGCAGCAGUGGGGAAUUUUGGACAAUGGGCGAAAGCCUGAUCCAGCAAUGCCGCGUGUGUGAAGAAGGCCUCGG
rnacentral:rRNA from 1 species